rfam:Trichobilharzia regenti genome assembly, scaffold: TRE_scaffold0048207
GUACUGCUGAAGAGUCCCAAACUAGGACGGAACAGCUGGUUGUCCAGUAC